rnacentral:rRNA from 1 species
AUUGAACGCUGGCGGCAUGCUUUACACAUGCAAGUCGAACGGUAACAGGGUGCUUGCACCGCUGACGAGUGGCGAACGGGUGAGUAAUGCGUCGGAACGUGCCGAGUAGUGGGGGAUAACGCAGCGAAAGUUGUGCUACUACCGCAUACGUACUGAGGUAGAAAGUGGGGGACCUUCGGGCCUCACGCUAUUCGAGCGGCCGCCGUCUGAUUAGCUAGUAGGUGAGGUAAAGGCUCACCUAGGCGACGAUCAGUAGCGGGUCUGAGAGGAUGAUCCGCCACACUGGGACUGAGACACGGCCCAGACUCCUACGGGAGGCAGCAGUGGUGAAUUUUGGACAAUGGGCGAAAGCCUGAUCCAGCCAUGCCGCGUGUCUGAAGAAGGCCUUCGGGUUGUAAAGGACUUUUGUCAGGGAGGAAAUCCCUAGUGCUAAUAACACUGGGGGAUGACAGUACCUGAAGAAUAAGCACCGGCUAACUACGUGCCAGCCGCCGCCGUAA